UUCCUACGGGGGGCAGCAGUGGGGAAUAUUGGGCAAUGGGCGCAAGCCUGACCCAGCAACGCCGCGUGAAGGAAGAAGGCUUUCGGGUUGUAAACUUCUUUUCUCAGGGACGAAGCAAGUGACGGUACCUGAGGAAUAAGCCACGGCUAACUACGUGCCAGCAGCCGCGGUAAUACGUAGGUGGCAAGCGUUAUCCGGAUUUACUGGGGGUAAAGGGCGUGUAGGCGGGACUGCAAGGAAGAUGUGAAAACCACGGGGUCAACCUGGGGACUGCAUUUGAAAAUG
rnacentral:rRNA from 1 species